UGGGGGCUCGUCUAACGGUAGGACAACGGACUCUGGAUCCGUUUGUGAAGGUUCGAAUCCUUCGCCCCCGG
rnacentral:tRNA from 1 species